AAUUAUUAUUAUUAAUUUUUAAUUAGAAGUGAAAUAUUAAACGAUUUUAAAUAUAUCUAGUUUUUUUAGAAUUGAAUUAAAUUCAGCUUUAAAAUUUUUAAAAUAAAUUAAAUUAAUUUAUUUUUAUUAAUUAAAUAUUUUAAAGUAAAUAUAUUCGGGAUAAAUUGAUUAUAUAAUUUAUAAAUUAAUUUGAAUUAUAUUUUAAAAGUAAUUAUAAAAUUAUAUUUCUUUUUAAAAAAUGUUUUAAUUUAUAUUUUUAAAUUUAAAUAAAGAUAAUUUUAAUUUUUAUUUUAAUAAUUUAUAAAAAUUUAAUAAUAAAUUAUUUUUUAUAAAAAAUAAUGAUUAUAUAAGUAAAUAUUGAAAUUAAAUGAAAAAAUAAUAAUAAAAUUUUAAAAUUUAAGUUUAAGGAAUUAGGCAAAUAUUUUUAAAAAUAUAAUUUAUAUUUACCUGUUUAUCAAAAACAUGUCUUAUUGAUUUAAAUAAUAAGUUUAUUCUGCCCAUUGAAAUAAAAAUUUUAAAAGGCUGCAGUAUAUUAACUGUACAAAGGUAGCAAAAUCAAUAGUUUUUUAAUUGAAAACUUGAAUGAAAGAAUUAAUAAAAUAUAUUCUGUCUCAAAUUUAAUUAAUUUAUUAAAUUUAAAUAAAAAGUUAAAAUGCUUUUAUUAAUUUAUUAGACGAUAAGACCCUAAGAAUUUAAGAAUUUUAUUUUAUAAUUAAAUUUUAUAAUUAAUUAAUUAAUAAAUUAAUUUUUUUUUAUUGGGAGGGUAAUUAAAUUUUUAAACUUUAAUUAUUUAUAAA
rnacentral:rRNA from 1 species